rnacentral:rRNA from 1 species
UACAUUCAAUAAGCGGAGGAAAAGAAACCAACAGGGAUUGCCUUAGUAACGGCGAGUGAAGCGGCAACAGCUCAAAUUUGAAAGCUGGCCCUUUUAGGGUCCGCGUUGUAAUUUGUAGAGGAUGAUUCGGCGAGGGCUCCUGCCUAAGUCCCCUGGAACGGGGCGUCAUAGAGGGUGAGAAUCCCGUAUGCGGUAGGUUGCCUUAGCCAUGUGAAUCUCCUUCGACGAGUCGAGUUGUUUGGGAAUGCAGCUCUAAAUGGGAGGUAAAUUUCUUCUAAAGCUAAAUACUGGCCAGAGACCGAUAGCGCACAAGUAGAGUGAUCGAAAGAUGAAAAGCACUUUGGAAAGAGAGUUAAAAAGUACGUGAAAUUGUUGAAAGGGAAGCGCUUGCAACCAGACUUGUCCGCAGUUGCUCAGCCGGUCUCCUGACCGGCGUACUCUUCUGCGGCCAGGCCAGCAUCAGUUCGGGCGGUCGGAUAAAGGCCUCGGGAAUGUAGCUCCUCUCGGGGAGUGUUAUAGCCCGGGGUGGAAUGCGACCAGCCUGGACUGAGGAUCUCGCUUCGGCAAGGAUGCUGGCGUAAUGGUUGUAAGCGGCCCGUCUUGAAACACGGACCAAGGAGUCUAACAUCUAUGCGAGUGUUCGGGUGUCAAACCCGUACGCGUAAUGAAAGUGAACGGAGGUGGGAACCCGCAAGGGUGCACCAUCGGCCGAUCCUGAUGUCUUCGGAUGGAUUUGAGCAAGAGCAUAGCUGUUGGGACCCGAAAGAUGGUGAACUAUGCCUGAAUAGGGUGAAGCCAGAGGAAACUCUGGUGGAGGCUCGCAGCGGUUCUGACGUGCAAAUCGAUCGUCAAAUUUGGGUAUAGGGGCGAAAGACUAAUCGAACCAUCUAGUACUGGUCUC